CAGAGCCAGAGGAAGAUGAAGGUGGCUGUUCUCAGCGUGGCCCUGCUCUUCUCCAUCCUGCUGUGCCCCCCAGCACAGGCCAAGGCACUCCUGGAAGGAACCCAAGAUGAUCUCCGGGAGUUGGAUUUAGACAAUGUCGUCGUCCUGGAGACGCCUCUGCCCCCUGUGGCUGAAGAGCUGCGGGCUCUCCUGCGGCAGAAGCGCCUGGCUGCCGCUCUCCAUGGAUAGGAACUGUUGGUGAAAACCAUGUCCUGUCCUCCUCCAGUGGCAUGAGGAGAUGAUCACCUCUGGAGAAAUCACCUGAUCCCCGCUGAGCCCUGGGCCUUUUUCCUCAAAUGAGAAAUAAAC